rnacentral:tRNA from 1 species
GGGGUUGUAGCUCAGAGGUAGAGCACACAUCUAGUAUGCAUGAGGUACUGGGUUCAAUCCUCAGCAACACAU